UUUUUAUGGCGCCAAAUCUUAUAA
rnacentral:siRNA from 1 species